UACGAAGGGGGCUAGCGUUGCUCGGAAUUACUGGGCGUAAAGGGUGCGUAGGCGGGUUAUCAAGUUGGAGGUGAAAGCCCAGGGCUCAACCUUGGAAUUGCCUUCAAAACUGAUAGCCUAGAGUAUGAUAGAGGUAAGUGGAACUCCGAGUGUAGAAGUGAAAUUCGUAGAUAUUCGGAAGAACACCAGUGGCGAAGGCGACUUACUGGAUCAUGACUGACGCUGAGGCUCGAAAGCGUGGGGAGCAAACAGG
rnacentral:rRNA from 1 species